UACGUAGGUGGCAAGCGUUGUCCGGAAUUAUUGGGCGUAAAGCGCGCGUAGGCGGCCAGAUUAGUCCGGUGUGAAAGUCAGAGGCUCAACCUUUGAAUGCCGCUGGAAACUGUCUGGCUUGAGUCCGGAAGGGGCGAGUGGAAUUCCUGGUGUAGCGGUGAAAUGCGCAGAUAUCAGGAGGAACACCGGUGGCGAAGGCGGAUCUCUGGGCCAUUACUGACGCUGAGGAGCGAAAGCGUGGGGAGCGAACAGG
rnacentral:rRNA from 1 species